rnacentral:rRNA from 1 species
GACGAACGCUGGCGGCGUGCUUAACACAUGCAAGUCGAACGGAAAGGCCCCUUUGGGGGUACUCGAGUGGCGAACGGGUGAGUAACACGUGAGUAACCUGCCCUUGACUUCGGGAUAACUUCAGGAAACUGGGGCUAAUACCGGAUAGGAAUCCUUGCUGCAUGGUGGGGGUUGGAAAGCUUCGGCGGUUUUGGAUGGACUCGCGGCUUAUCAGCUUGUUGGUGGGGUAGUGGCUUACCAAGGCUUUGACGGGUAGCCGGCCUGAGAGGGCGACCGGCCACAUUGGGACUGAGAUACGGCCCAGACUCCUACGGGAGGCAGCAGUGGGGAAUAUUGCACGAUGGGCGGAAGCCUGAUGCAGCAACGCCGCGUGCGGGAUGACGGCCUUCGGGUUGGAAACCGCUUUCAGCAGGGGCGAAGCUUGUGGUGACGGUACCUGCAGAAGAAGCACCGGCUAACUACGUG